rnacentral:rRNA from 1 species
UACAGAGGUGGCAAGCGUUGUUCGGAAUUACUGGGCGUAAAGGGCGCGUAGGCGGCCUUCUAAGUCAGACGUGAAAUCCCCCGGCUUAACCUGGGAACUGCGUCUGAUACUGGGAGGCUAGAGUAUGGGAGAGGGAUGUAGAAUUCAGGUGUAGCGGUGAAAUGCGUAGAUAUCUGGAGGAAUACCGGUGGCGAAGGCGGCAUCCUGGACCAUUACUGACGCUGAGGCGGCGAAAAGCUAGGGGAGCAAACGGGG